AUUGCCUCAGUAACGGCGAGUGAAGCGGCAACAGCUCAAAUUUGAAAUCUGGCCUCUCUCGGGGUCCGAGUUGUAAUUUGUAGAGAGUGUUUCGGGGGAGACCGCGGUCUAAGUCCAUUGGAACAUGGCGUCAUAGAGGGUGAGAAUCCCGUCUGUGACCGCGGAUCGAGCCCAUGUGAAGCCUCUUCGACGAGUCGAGUUGUUUGGGAAUGCAGCUCAAAAUGGGUGGUAAAUUUCAUCUAAAGCUAAAUACUGGCUGGAGACCGAUAGCGCACAAGUAGAGUGAUCGAAAGAUGAAAAGCACUUUGGAAAGAGAGUUAAACAGUACGUGAAAUUGUUGAAA
rnacentral:rRNA from 1 species